rnacentral:rRNA from 2 species
UUGACCUCAAAUCAGGCAGGACUACCCGCUGAACUUAAGCAUAUCAAUAAGCGGAGGA